GUGAAACUGUAAGUUCCUGCUCUUAUUUUGAAAAGCACUUCCUGUUGUGAGUCCGGCUUCACCACAGAGCGUCUGGUACCAAACCGAAAGAAGGACGACACCAUUUAGGUAAAUUGUCCUCUGCAGCUGUAUGACAUGAGUGUGCAUCAGAGGUGAUUAUUGAGGCAGGAACCAGGUGUUGCAUCAGGAGACCAUGGAGGAGUCGUCUGAGCCGGACAGUCCUGCAGGUCUGAACCGAGGCUGCCUGCUCGACCCGACGGACGUCCUCUACCAUGAUCUCUCCAUCAUCGUCCAGAAACACCCAGCCCCCAGCUUGGCAAACGGAGGAGACUCAGCCGCAUCGCAGAGGAACAUUUCAGUCCUGUGUCCGUCGGCGGAUCUCCAGGACGACCUGAACUUUCACACAAAUCCAAACGCAGACGUCUGGCUGCAGCGAUGGGAGAGCAGAGCGUCGGCUUUGUUCCAGCUUCAUCUCUCAGGACUUUACCUCAGGUCAGCUGGCUGGAGUCCCCGCUGUCCACUGCGUCCUGCGCCUCCUUCUCCUCAUCGUCCUCCUCCUACCUCACACCAAUAUCAGAGGAGGAAGCAUUGGAAGACAUGGUCCACAGUCCUGCUUGUCUCAGCCGGAGGUUGAAGCACAGUCUGAUGCCGGCGAUGGCUUCAGCGUCCCCGCCGUCCUCAUCCGAGUCUCUGUCCUUCCUGACUGCAGAGGAGAGGCGGUGGCUGAACGGCGAGCGGGGAAACUCCUCUACAGCACCGGAGGAGAUCGUCAUCAGUGACGAUGAGGAGGCCGUGGUUCGCUCGGCUCAGCAGGAGGAAGACGAGACGUUGGCUCGAAGCCUGCAGGCCCAGUUUGACCGAGAGGAGUCACACAGCAGACACCAGCACCGUCACCACCAGCAGCUCCACCAUCAUCUUCAACAGCAGAGCCACCCCCGGUAUUAUCCCUACAUGGAGCCCGGCUGGAUGCCUCAUCUACUGGCUGCUGUCUCUCCUCUGGUCGGCUUUGAAGACGAUGUGAUUGGUCAACGCACGAGGCGAGAGCGGGGCAGGAGGAGGAACGGCCAGCCUGAACUCUCAGAAGACCUCCAGGGGAACGACUACGAGGCUCUGCUGGCGUUCGAGGAGCGUCAAGGAUCCGUUGUGUCCAAGAAGUUGAGUCGGAGGGAGAUCCAGAUGUUUCCCACCAAAACCUUCCAGUCUGCCAACAGCGCCGGCAACUCGCAGUGUCAGAUCUGUUUCUGUGACUACACUGAUGGCGAGAAGCUGAGGAUGUUGCCCUGUUUCCAUGACUACCACGUGCAGUGUAUCGACCGAUGGUUAAAGGAUAACACCACCUGCCCCAUCUGCAGAGCUAACCUGGCUGACGGCGCCGCCCUCGCCCCCCCGCACCUCUGAGGCGAACUGCUGGUGUUUGAGUUACUGUGUUUGUGAUGGAUGAAGGACAACUCGCUUGUUUUUGACGAUGAAUCUUCUCCGUCCCGCCGCUCGUUAGCCCUCGUAGUAGCGUUUCUUCAUGGCUCUGUACUUCCUCAGGUAGUAGAGCGCCUCCAGCUCUCGGGCCACGUACUCCCCCCGAGCGAUCAUCUCCUUGAUCUGCUCCGAGUCCUGCACGCUCUUGUUUUUCGUGAACGCCGCUCGCAGGCGGUCCCUGAAGUAGUCGCCGCCUUUAGGAUACUCCCGUCCGAGGUAGAGCAGCUGCGGAGCACACGGGAGGGGAACGCUUGUUUAUUAGUUUAUUAUUACACUCCGAUCUUUACUCUUCAUGUUUGGACCAGAACAUAAUAAAAACAUUUGAUUCAUUAGUUUUGGA